rnacentral:rRNA from 1 species
UACGGAGGGUGCAAACGUUGCUCGGAAUCAUUGGGCGUAAAGCGCACGUAGGCGGCUCGUUAAGUCGGAUGUGAAAGCCCUCGGCUCAACCGAGGAAGUGCAUACGAAACUGGCGAGCUUGAAUAUGGAAGAGGGUCGCGGAAUUCCCGGUGUAGAGGUGAAAUUCGUAGAUAUCGGGAGGAACACCAGUGGCGAAGGCGGCGACCUGGGCCAAUACUGACACUGAUGAGCGAAAGCCAGGGGAGCAAACGGG